GACGAACGCUGGCGGCGUGCUUAACACAUGCAAGUCGAGCGGUAAGGCCCCUUCGGGGGUACACGAGCGGCGAACGGGUGAGUAACACGUGAGCAAUCUGCCCUUCACACGGGGAUAACUCCGGGAAACCGAAGCUAAUACCCGAUACGACCACUGGUCGCAUGGCCUGGUGGUGGAAAGUUCCGGCGGUGGAGGAUGAGCGCGCGGCCUAUCAGCUUGUUGGUGGGGUAGUGGCCUACCAAGGCAACGACGGGUAGCCGGCCUGAGGGGGUGACCGGCCACACUGGGACGGAGACACGGCCCAGACUCCUACGGGAGGCAGCGGUGGGGAAUAUUGGACAAUGGGCGAAAGCCUGAUCCAGCAACGCCGCGUGAGGGAUGACGGCCUUCGGGUUGUAAACCUCUUUCAGCAGGGACGAAGCGCAAGUGACGGUACCUGCAGAAGAAGCACCGGCCAACUACGUGCCAGCAGCCGCCGUAAUAC
rnacentral:rRNA from 1 species